GGGCCCGUAGCUCAGUCAGGUAGAGCAUCCGGCUCUUAACCGGAUGGUCGAGGGUUCAAAUCCCUCCGGGCCCG
rnacentral:tRNA from 1 species